GACGAACCGUGCGAACGUUGUUCGGAAUCACUGGGCUUAAAGGGCGCGUAGGCGGCUCAUCAAGUCCGGGGGUGAAAGCCCCCAGCUCAACUGGGGAAGUGCCUCGGAUACUGGUGAGCUCGAGGGAGGUAGGGGCGGAUGGAACUUCCGGUGGAGCGGUGAAAUGCGUUGAUAUCGGAAGGAACGCCGGUGGCGAAAGCGAUCCGCUGGCCCUCUACUGACGCUGAGGCGCGAAAAGCCAGGGGGAGCAAACGGG
rnacentral:rRNA from 1 species